rnacentral:rRNA from 1 species
GAUGAACGCUGGCGGCGUGCCUAAUACAUGCAAGUCGAGCGAACAGACGAGGAGCUUGCUCCUCUGACGUUAGCGGCGGACGGGUGAGUAACACGUGGAUAACCUACCUAUAAGACUGGGAUAACUUCGGGAAACCGGAGCUAAUACCGGAUAAUAUUGAACCGCAUGGUUCAAUAGUGAAAGACGGUUUUGCUGUCACCUAUAGAUGGAUCCGCGCCGCAUUAGCUAGUUGGUAAGGUAACGGCUUACCAAGGCAACGAUGCGUAGCCGACCUGAGAGGGUGAUCGGCCACACUGGAACUGAGACACGGUCCAGACUCCUACGGGAGGCAGCAGUAGGGAAUCUUCCGCAAUGGGCGAAAGCCUGACGGAGCAACGCCGCGUGAGUGAUGAAGGUCUUCGGAUCGUAAAACUCUGUUAUUAGGGAAGAACAAAUGUGUAAGUAACUAUGCACGUCUUGACGGUACCUAAUCAGAAAGCCACGGCUAACUACGUG